AACAGGAUUAGAUACCCUGGUAGUCCACGCUGUAAACGAUGUCGGCUUGGAGGUUGUGCCCUUGAGGCGUGGCUUCCGGAGCUAACGCGUUAAGUCGACCGCCUGGGGAGUACGGCCGCAAGGUUAAAACUCAAAUGAAUUGACGGGGGCCCGCACAAGCGGUGGAGCAUGUGGUUUAAUUCGAUGCAACGCGAAGAACCUUACCUACUCUUGACAUCCAGAGAAUUUGCUAGAGAUAGCUUAGUGCCUUCGGGAACUCUGAGACAGGUGCUGCAUGGCUGUCGUCAGCUCGUGUUGUGAAAUGUUGGGUUAAGUCCCGCAACGAGCGCAACCCUUAUCCUUUGUUGCCAGCACGUAAUGGUGGGAACUCAAAGGAGACUGCCAGUGAUAAACUGGAGGAAGGUGGGGAUGACGUCAAGUCAUCAUGGCCCUUACGAGUAGGGCUACACACGUGCUACAAUGGCAUAUACAAAGAGAAGCGACCUCGCGAGAGCAGGCGGACCUCAUAAAGUAUGUCGUAGUCCGGAUUGGAGUCUGCAACUCGGCUCCAUGAAGUCGGAAUCGCUAGUAAUCGUGGAUCAGAAUGCCACGGUGAAUACGUUCCCGGGCCUUGUGCACACCGCCCGUCACACCAUGGGAGUGGGUUGCAAAAGAAGUAGGUAGCUUAACCUUCGGGAGGGCGCUUACCACUUUGUGAUUCAUGACUGGGGUGAAGUCGUAACAAGGUAACC
rnacentral:rRNA from 1 species